AACUAGUUUAAUCAAGUUGUACCAACCUAAUCUAGAUUCUAUCUAAUCUAUUAUGAUCUAAUCUAGAGUAAGUUACUUAAUAUUGGUACAAAGGAUAAAGCCAUACUCCAAAUCCACUUAAGCUUAAACUGGUGACCUAGAUCAACUCGGCCAUACCCAACAACUUGACCUACAUAACAGAUCUAUCUUAGCCUCUUGUCCCAAACCCGGAUGGAGACACCAGAGAGCAAGACUGGAAAAGGACAAGAUCAACCUUGUCAAGGAAGGAGAGAAGUCAAACUCGAUCUUCAGAUGCAUUACCACCCAACAAGGAGUCCUUUCUCACCGUAAACUUUCUUACUUAGGCUAUUCUUGCCCUAACCUAUCCAUCUCUUAUAUCAUGCAUAAUAAGUAGCUGGAUACCUAUGCUCUCUCAAUCACUCACCCACCAUUGACUACAUAAAAAAAACAAGACCCUGGAUUUUUAAACCAAUUAUAGACUAAAAGCCGAAUUACAGAAAUGCUUCUGUAUCCCUUUCUUGCAAAUCUCGAGGACGAGAUUUCUGUUAAGGGGGGUAGGAUUUGUAACGACCAAAAUCCUAUUCUAAGAUUUACAAAUAUUUUUUAUAAGGUUUAGGGUUAAAAGGUAUUUUAAUAUAAGAAUCCUCAUUUUUAAAUGUUAUUCUAAAAAAACUAAAAGCUUGGAACCAUAAACACAAGAAUGUUAUUUAUUUAUUAUUCUCUUUAUGAACUACAUAUACAAAUGCACUCCUUCAAAAAAUAAUAACUUAUGGGAAAAAUAUUGUGUGGGUUGCAUAAUUGGAUCAUUUUUUUAUUUUUUUAUUUGCAUGAAUAAAUGAAUAAAUUAAUUAUUAUAAAUUAUACCUGCAUCAUGUUGGGUUUGUUUGUGCAUUUAUUUUGAAUUUUAAAACUAAGAACUGAUUUGAAUUUGGAAUUGAAAUAAAAAAAACAGAAUAAAAAGCAAAAGAAAUAGAUUGCUUACCUGAGAAAUGGGCCGAAUUUCCCCUCCCUUAGCCCAGUCUGGUGCCCUCUCAGACUACCACGCGCUUGCUGGCGAGUCUCUGACAUCGUGGGCCAACCCGUCAGCGUUGUCUUCCCCGAGUAGGACUCCAACAGACCGCGUGAUUCCAGGCAACAAAAACAUACCCGACGCCGCUGCUAUCCCAUAAUAUUCGGGGGGGUGCACCGGCCAAACCCACAACGGAAUCCUAGGAGUCUGCCGCUCCCAUGACCCUGCCCAGGUACAUAUAAGAUGGCCCCUGCGCCCUCCCAUAAGCCAUCGGCGAGUAGAAGCACCAGUGAGCGUCGAUUGCUCGGAUUUAGGUGGGGGAUCAGGGGUGUUCAUCGGAGUACAUUGUACUUGGGGCUAGUUUUUUUCAAGCGUCUGGAACAAGCAGUGAAGGCCCGAUGUUUGGUUUGGGAAGGCCCCCUUCCGUGACAAUGGAAUUAGUGCAUGCUACUAGCGUUCGUCUGGAGUCCCUUAUACAAUGGUGGGUUCUGGAAACUGAGGUAAAUCUUUGACUGGCCUAGUUUCUGAUUCCAAAUUUUGUGCUCCCACCGCUUCUUGAUCCGUCGGGUGCCAAGGGCCUCUGUUGCGGCAAGUCGGCUGCAGUCCGGGAGCCGGCGGUAGCAGAGGUGAACAACAAAGCUGGGCGUUGGCCUGCCAGCGUCGCCGGUGAGGGUGUCUCAGACGCCCAAGCAGCCCAUGUUGCCCUUCUACUUACCGAGCCGCCCUCACCCUCCAGCUACAAGGGCUCGCCGCCGUACAAACUAAAGGCCGCCGCCGCUCUGUAAUUUAUGGGGAAGAAACGACUCCGUCCAUUGAUCUGGGAGGGACGAUGGGGAUUAGAUCCUAACGUUUUAAAAUCAUGAGCGUCCGAUUCUAAUCGAACGGUUGGGGGAAGUAGCUGAUACCCCUUCGCGGCUCAUGAUCUGGGUCAUCGGAUCUUGAUCCGGUGGUCUAUAUUUCAUACCGGUUCAUAAAGGUUAAAAUCUAAUCGCGACCAUUGGCUUUUGAUCGGGCGACCGAGGAUCGCGGAUACCCCUUCAGCCGAGCCAGAUUUACAAAUGAGCCCCCGCAGAAUCUCAUAAUUAACCCUCCAUCCUCGCGGGAGUAGUCUGAGUCUGGUAGAGUUUUAUAAAUUUAACCCUAGGCUCUCUGAUAUUAGUGUCCUCGGUCCAGAACACUUAGGAUAUUCAGAAAUUAAUAAAGAAAUAGGUUUUUAGUAUAAAAAUAAAUCCAUAAACUUGUUUAAUUCAUAUUUAAUUCAUUCUAACUCCGAAUUAACCCAUUCCAGUUUCUAUAAUUUUGUAAUAUAAUUGUUUAUCAUUUUGUGUCACUGUUUUGACAUGAAAGCCAUAUUAAAAUUGAUAUCCUAAUUAAUCUUGUACAAAGCACAUAGAAUCUUUAGAAAUCCAUAACUUAAAAUCUAUAACUCCAAAAUUAAUAAUUCAUGUUCCUGUUAUCUUAUUUCAAUAUGUAGAUUAUUAAUAUGUAUUUUGCAUAUAUGUUUGGUGUAAUGUUAAUUUUGCCUAUACACUAUUUGUCUAUAUUGCUACGUUUAGCAGUGAGGACACGUGUCAUCUGAAAAGCAAGUUGGUACCUGGAAUCUCAAGUCCCAGGCAAGUUGUGCCCUUGACCACUUCUUUUUACCCACUCAUGUUCUAAUUAAUCAUAAUGAUCUGCAUAGGUUAAUUUUGAUGGGACCCAAUAGGUUACCCCAGUUUGACUAUCUUUAUGCCUUGUUUACCACUGAACUUUUGGGUAGUACUUGCUAGUGCUUUAUGUGGAUUUGGGCAUUGAGAUAUUCAUGAUUAUACUUUUAUUAUCAGUUGUUAUUUACUAUUCAUGAUAAGAUCAUUAUGUUAAUUGGAACAUGGAGAACCACCCGGGAAAACAGUGCUACCACAAGGGUUUAAUGGGACGCCCUUGGCUGAUUAAUUAGGAAAGCUAGUGGAUGACUACCUUACCCGAAAGGGGCAAGGGCAGUAGAGGAGUGGUCAGUGUAGGGAGGCCCUUGGGAUGAUUUUGCUGUGAUGGCGGUCAUGCGAGGGAUUCUUGCAUUGGAGCUUCCUAUAAACUGUAGUGGGUUUUCUGAAGCUAGUGGAACUUUGUAAAGGCCUCGUAGUGUUACCCUGCCUCGCCUCCUCGGUAGAGGUGUAUGGGAUUGUCCGUCUCUUGGCAGAUGGGUAACAUGACUUGUGGGUAAAGAUGUGCAACCUCUACAGAGUGUAAAACUGGUAUACUAGCCGUGCUCACGGUCAAGAGCAGCUCGGACACUCACAUGAUUAAUCUAUGGAACUAAAUUCAAUUUGUCAUAUGCAUUGCAUCGCAGGUGAUGUUGUUAUUUUUGUUCUACUACUUAAUUGGGUUUGAUAUUUACUUAUACUUAGUAAUUGCUAAUAAAAUUUUGACCAACUUUAAAAGCAAUGCUCAGCUCUAACCAUCCUCUUUGGUAAGCCUUACACUUCACGUGAGCUCCCACCUUUGGCGAGUUCAUGCACAUUAUUCCCCACAACUUGUUGAGCGAUGAAUGUAUGUGAGCUCACUCUUGCUGUCUCACACCCCCCCCACAGGUCAAGAACAGGUACCGCAGGAUGAGGCGCUUGAAGGAUGUGGCUAUGUGUUCGUGAGAGGUCUAGGUCGCCGUCUCCCAGUCAACUUUGGGUUGCUGGACCGUUGUCUCCUUAUAAUGUAAUUAUUUAUUUUGUGCAAAGUUCCUGUUAUGUAGUAAAGAUGUGACAUUCGAUCCUGUGCCAUGAUUCAUCAUAUGUGUGAGACUUGGUCCCAGCACACCUAGUGAUUAUGUUCGCCCCCGGGUCUUGGUGCCCCGAAACCCGGGUGUGAUAGUAUGUUGUCCUAGGAAGCCUCAAAAGGGUAUGUUGUCCUAGGAAGCAUCAAUAGGGUAUGUUAUCUUAGGGUAUUUACAUUUUUAGGACUCGAGAAGACAGUCCUAGGGUAUGUUGUCCUAGGAAGCCUCAAAAGGGUAAGACUUACAAAGAUGGUAGUUUAGGCUAUUGCUAUGGAGUUAUUCUUAAAAAUGUAAAUAGCUAGGCUAGUUUAAAUAUGCUUCAUGCAAAUAAGCGUGCAAGCCUCAUCCUGAGCAGCUUCAACUAUGUUCUUAGGAUGGCAAGCUAGUACAGGCCUUACUAAGAGGCCUUCACAACUAGCAUGCAAGAUGAUGAAUACCUAACACACAUGCUAUUAAGGGUAUAAUGAGUGUAUUGUUGUAUUCCCCUCUAUAAGGAAAAUGGACCGCGACCCAUUUGCUUAAGUGAUUUUGGUGUUUGAUGAGUGAUGACCAACAUGACUUGUGGACUAAUGUGUUUGUUAGUGUUUAUGUUUAUAG
rnacentral:lncRNA from 1 species